UACAGAGGAUGCAAGCGUUAUCCGGAAUCACUGGGCGUAAAGCGUCUGUAGGUGGUUCAAUAAGUCAACUGUUAAAUCUUGAGGCUCAACUUCAAAAUCGCAGUCGAAACUAUUGGACUCGAGUAUAGUAGGGGUAAAGGGAAUUUCCAGUGGAGCGGUGAAAUGCGUAGAGAUUGGAAAGAACACCAAUGGCGAAAGCACUUUACUGGGCUAUUACUGACACUGAGAGACGAAAGCUAGGGUAGCAAUGGG
rnacentral:rRNA from 1 species